rnacentral:misc_RNA from 1 species
GAUGUCGGCUACUUAGACAAAAAUGGCGGCGGAACAAGAGCGCCAAAGCGACGCCGAAGCAGCAAAGCCCAGUUUUGUGUUGCGGUGUGAAAUGGUGAAAAAAGCAUCAAACCACACAACCCAGCAGUUACCAGUUAGGUCGAUUUCGCUAGAAAAAGUCAGAUCUUUUUUUCAACAUUUCUGCUCCUCUUUCCCUUUCGCUCUCUUCUCCAAUCUUAUUCUGUCUUAUACAGACACCAAAGAAACCAACAAAUUCUAGUUUUGUACCUUCUUCGAUGGAGGUGAAGCGCAGAACUGCUCGCUCCUUAGUUUCCAAACUCGGCUCUGUAUCCGAGCAAACCCGCUCCGAAGCCUUAGCUGAGCUGCGUCUCAUCACCAAACACGAUGCUGAUAGCCGCCCGAUUAUCGCUGACGCCGGUGCUAUUCCCUUCUUGGCUGAGACUCUCUAUUCUUCAUCCCAUGAUUCGCAAGAGAACGCCGCUGCUACUCUCCUUAACCUUUCCAUCUCUUCCCGCGACUCCCUCAUGUCUACGCGCGGCCUCCUUGAUGCUAUUUCUCACGCGCUUCGCCACCAUAAUACUACCACUUCCGCUCUCGCUGUUCAAUCCUCCGCUGCUACUUUGCACAGCCUCUUAAUCGUCGAUUCUUAUCGGCCUAUCAUCGGAUCCAAACGCGAUAUCAUUUAUUCUCUGAUAGAUAUAAUCAAAAUGGCUAAGUCGCCGCCGCGGUCGAUUAAAGAUGCGUUGAAAGCUUUGUUUGGAAUUGCUCUGUAUCCGUUGAAUAGAUCCACACUGAUUGAUCUCGGGGCUGUCCCGCCGUUGUUUUCAUUAGUUUUGAAAGACGGGAGAGUGGGGAUAGUGGAGGAUGCGACGGCGGUGAUAGCGCAAAUUGCUGGGUGGGAGGAGAGCGACUGUGAAUUCGCGCAAUUUUCGGGGGUGAGGAUUUUGGUGGACUUGCUGGAUGUGGGGACGGGUUCUAGUGGGAGAAUAAAGGAGAACGCAGUGGCGGCAUUGUUGAAUUUGGUGAGGUGUGGAGGGGAGAAAGCGGUGGAGGAUGUGAGGGAUAUGGCUGCGGCAGUGGUCGAGGGGAUUAAGGAAGUGGCGGAGAAUGGAAGCGCCAAAGGGAAGAGUAAAGCUAUUGCAUUGUUGAAGGUGAUUGAGGGCGGAUCAAGCAAUGGGAGUACUCAGUUUGAUACUUCACUCAAUCAAUCUUCAUAAAUUGAUGGCUUCUUGAUAGCAUUCGGUUAGUUAAAAAUUGAUUUCUUGUUAGCUUGUAUAUGUAUAUUUGUAAAAAUUAGCUGAUGAAUUUGUAUUGCUAAUACCAUAAAGAAUGGAAAAUAGAGAAGUUUGGAUUGGUAUGAAAUGAUUAAUAGUUGAUGUGAUUGUCAAAUUUUCUCUGUUUGAUCUUAACAGUGUGGGCGAAAUUUCAAUUAUCUACAUUCUUUUCAGACUGUUUUGACCAAUUUAACUUUGUUGUUUGUGACUCUUUAUCAUUAAUGAAUCA